GCGCCGCCGAGCGGCGGCUGAGGGAGAGCGCGGGAAAGUGGGCGGGCGGUGUGGAUCAGGAGCAGGUGAAGCCAGAGCAGCAGAUGCAGAUCAUUGAUCUGACAUGGCACAGUCCUUCCCCUGUGGCUUGAGAGGUACGGAGGAGUGAGAAGUCACAAGGGUCAUUGACUGAAGCUUUGCGAUCCAUGCUGCACAGAUAGAGAAUGAUUUAAUCAUCCAUAAACUUACUGAGCUCCUUCUCAAAAGCAAUUAUGCUUUUCUGGUGUUGAUAUAAGCAAUAUAUCCAGCUGUCCAUACACAUAUAGAUCUCGACUGUCCACCUCUCUACGUAUCGGACCAUAAAUAACUGCACCAGUUUUCAUUCUCUGCUAAGCAGAGGGAAGCUGAAACAGGCUGAAAAAAUAAAGGAGCUUCCACAACA